rnacentral:lncRNA from 1 species
AAGACACCUAGAACUUUUUUCUUUUAAAAAAACGUGAAAACUUAUAACUUAACUAAAAGAAAAAAGGUUUUUUGCGAUUCUACUACAAAAACAAAGUGUUGACGCUGAUGACAAAAAAAUUUCAAAGAUCAAAGGUGUUAUCGAAAAGAAUUUUUAAAACUGAAAAAAUUAAAAGACAAGCAGAUAGAGGUUAUUAGAUGUUUCUUAAAACAUAUUUAUAGUUUUACAGAUGAUAAACAUUUUUUCAAACUACUUCUUGAAGCACUAUCGUCUUAUGUUAUGAAGAAAGUUUCUUGGCCACACAAGAAAGUUUAAAAUAUUAUAAAGAUCUUUCGACUAUAUUAAAGAUGCCAAAAACAUUUAAAGAACAAGUUGAUCAAUAUUAUAAUAAUAAAAAAAGAUCCUUAAUUUGCUUGAUAGAAGGUUUUUGAAUAACUAAAAUCAUAA